AUUUAGUACUGGCUCAAGUGUAUUUGGGCUGACUCAUGUGUUCAUAGAUUUACUUAGAUGGUAAAAUAAAGAUCUUGAUCUACGAGUAUCUAUUCCUCGUGGUCGAGGGGGUGUUCUGUCACAGUUCAGGGUAGAGUUCGGUUCAGGAUACUCAAUUUGCUCAUAACCGUAUCAUCGCAUCGAUGUAAUGUGAUGCAGCACAUUAAUACUAUGCACUUCAGCACUAUGCUCAGAACCUAGCUAGUUUACUUGAGUGUCGGCUGCCAAACAUUAUGGAAUCCUUACGGUUAGUGAUAUUUUGAAUGGACACAACUUUGUUAGUAGCAGUUAGUAGUUGAUGAAUUUCUUGAUAAGCUUGGCUUGUACUCUAUAGCAUUUUGUUCGUUAUAUGAAAGGUGGUGUUAAAUUAUUAAAUGCAUCAUCUAGAAUUCAUAUGCCCUGUGAUUGUUUUCCCCCAUUGCAGCUGUAGUUGGAUUGUUUGUUAUAGUCCAGAUUAAGGGAGCAGGAUAAUCCAUCUGUUAACUGGCAACUAAAAUAGUUAAAUUAGAAGAAAAUUCUACUUAUUCUGUCUGGCAUGUUAUUGUAGUCCUGUACGAGCAGUCAAUCAUGGGCGUUGUAUGACUUGCCUGUAAGCCUAAUUCACAACCAUCAUUCCAGCUAUAUUCUGAGUUUCUUUGUCAGCUCCAAGAGUUGUAUAAUAUGAGCUCUGCUUAGUUGCGAUAAGUAUACAGAAGCAAAAUUAGCGUGUUGUGUUGAGUUUCCAUAUGCAUAGAAUUAACCGCACAGCUCUAUAUGAAGAAUUUCAUAGAAUUAGCAAACCAUAGUCGAUGCAGGAUUUACAAAUCCAGAGUAUCCAUUAGUAUUAAAAUUUGGUAUCAACAAUCCAUAAUCCUCUGAAUAAUGUUGUACAUGUAGGUGGUAACUCUGAAUAAUGCACUGCAAUUGCAUGUUACAGUGUGUGUCAUUUGAAAAGAAAAUUUAGGAUUAUGAACAGCUGUGUUUGAUUUGGAUCUUUAUUUUUUUCUAAAUUGUGAACAGCUGUGUUUGAUGGUGUUCUAGAACUUCGACAAAAAAUAGUUGGUUGUGCUUCAGUACAUAAGUGAAGUAUAUAUGUGAGCUUGUUUCUGAUUAAAUCCUACCUAGCAGAAAUUAACAGAAUCCACUGAAACUGAACAGAACCUUAUGUAUCGAUUCCCCUCACAGCCUCACACCAUUCUCUCUUUGUAGAAUCCAUGGCGUGGGGAGGUCUCUUCCUGAGCCUGAGCCACCCCACACCGGAGCAGCAGAAGUCGUGCCUCGCGGCUGCCAGCGGUUUCAACUACGACGCGGACCUCCACGGCGCCACAAACCCGAAAUCACCAACCGCAUUAACAAACUCUGAAGACACGGACAAAGCGCUUGCGAACCGUGGCUUCUCCGUGAACCGGUCGCGCGUCCUCGUAGGCUCCGGCGCCGACGCCUUCCGCCACGCCAAGUCGGCCCUCCUCUCGUGGAAGUAAGCCUGGCCUGUUUUGAACUCCGCUGUGGUAGUAUAUGUUUGCAGCAAUGCUGAAACUUGUUUGUUGUUGUUGGACAGGCACCUGGCCCUGGGGUGGGCAGAGGCGGAGCCGGGCACGCCGGUGAAACCCGGCGCGAGGUUCUGCAUCUGCUACAAGGAGGUGGUGCCCUGGGUGAUGUUCCCGCUGCAGAUCGCCUACGUCACCGACGACGACUGCAAUGGCGGCAAGCGCGGGAAAGGCGGUGACGGCGGCGUGUUCGCGUUCGGCAGCGGCACCCUGCAGGGCCAUCUGCUGGUACUAGUGCAUUCUGUUUCCGGUUGGGAUGGAGUUGCAGCAAGCAAAAUGACCAUGGUUUGGGUGACACGGUGCUUGUGGAUGCAUUGCAGGCCGGGGAGGAGCGGUUCUCGGUGGAGGUGGACGCAGAGGAGCGGGUGUGGUACGAGGUGGUGUCCUUCUCCAAGCCGGCGCACCCGCUGUCGGCGCUGUGUUACCCCUACGUGCGGCUCCGGCAGAGGCACUUCGCGCGGGAGUCCGGCAAGGCGGUGCUCAGGCACGUCGCUGCCGCGGCCUGCUCGUCAACAACGCCGCCGCCGAUGCAGUGAUCAUCGACGUCCUUUCUGCUCCAUUCUGCUUCCGUUGGACGAUGUAUACAUACAUGUGGGGGCAUGUGGAGAAAGAUGGCAGGUUGCUCUCGUCUCGUGGUACCUGUAGCAGCGUAGGCGCUCCUGAACUGACUCGAUGUUUUUGCACCCGAGCUCGUUAAAAUGAGCUCAGGUGAACAGUAAAUUCGAAAAGUAUUGUAAAAAUGUUCAAAAAGUUCUGAUUCUUUUUUGGAAAAACUUUGACAAAUGUUAUAAGUGCUCGUAAAAUUUCAUCAUGAAAUCGCAUUUGUGAAAGUCAUGACAAAAAAAAACAAAAUUGCAACUCUGAAAAUGCUACUUUCAAAAGCAUUUUGAAGCACUAAUAUUGUUUUUUCUUCACGACUUCAAAAAAUAUGAUUUCGUACUGAAAUUUUGCUAGUUAAUAAAAUAUUUGUCAAAUGUUUGCUGUAAAAGAAAUUCAGAUUUUUUUAACAUGUCUAAAAUAUAUAUUUUCAAAUUUACUGUACACCCGCUCGUGUGUAGAAGAGCACUUUCGUUCCUGAACAAAUCAUUUCCGUUCUUCGUUUUGUUGUCCGACGCGCACGCACUGACUCUCAAGACGAGGACGAAAGGUCAAAAAAAAAAAAAACACG
rnacentral:lncRNA from 1 species